CUUCAGGUUCAUCCACAUUGUGCCAAAUGUUAAUCCUCUGUGGCCAUGUCGGGUCUGUUGGUGGAGAUGCCAAACACGGAAGACAGUGAAGUGGUGGCUCAGCGUUCUCCAAAGGAAUGAGCAAGCAGAUGAGGCAAAGCACACUCUGAAGAGUGACAACUAUAGCUUCCAUAAGAAAGUUUUGGAGGCUCCUAAAAAUGACAGAUAAAUGAACUAACCUAAUCAGCAAAAUUAAACUAUAGGAAAGAGUAUGGACCUUGAAAAGACAGAUGAUCCAAAUAGAAAAUACAUCAGCACGUGGGAAAGAGCAACGUUGAUCGUCUUCACGGAAAGGCUGAGGACCCUGCGCCUACCACAUGUUGGCCAGGGUGAGCAAGCAGUGAAAGAGAAAACACUUUUUUCAAAAAGC
rnacentral:lncRNA from 1 species